rnacentral:rRNA from 1 species
UACAGAGACCUCAAGCAUUAUCCGGAUUUAUUGGGCGUAAAGGGUCCGCAGGUGGCAUGGCGCGUCAACGGUUAAAUCUAUGGGCUCAACCCAUAAACCGCCGUUGAAACGGCCAAGCUAGAGGGUGGGAGAGGUAAGCGGAAUUGCCGGUGUAGUAGUAAAAUGCGUUAAUAUCGGCAAGAACACCAAAUGCGAAGGCAGCUUACUGGAACACUUCUGACACUCAGGGACGAAAGCGUGGGUAGCGAAAGGG